UACGGGGGGAGCAAGCGUUGUUCGGAUUUACUGGGCGUAAAGGGCGCGUAGGCGGCGCAACAAGUCACUUGUGAAAUCUCCGGGCUUAACUCGGAGCGGUCAAGUGAUACUGUCGUGCUAGAGUGCGGAAGGGGCAACUGGAAUUCUUGGUGUAGCGGUGAAAUGCGUAGAUAUCAAGAGGAACACCUGCGGCGAAGGCGGGUUGCUGGGCCGACACUGACGCUGAAGCGCGAAAGCUAGGGGAGCGAACGGG
rnacentral:rRNA from 1 species